CCUGCGUUUUGAGCACACGGCUAAUUUAGACGUUCGACAACGACUGUUGUAGCAACUAUCAUCUCAAACAUUGUAACGCGACAUACAUUAAGAGAAAAUGUUAAUUGUUAAUUAAGUGGGAUUGACUAACUUAAAGGACGAUUAAUGAGCUCACUACGAUCACUGCGACUGUAACAAAAUGUUCGGCUGCCACUGUUCCAUGGUACAGUGCACGCUUAUAAUAAAACUGGUUAGAAAUGACAAAAUUUCAAAGACGUCAUCAAUUGAAGUGAGAUUACCGUGACGAACAAAGAUACGUGUGGCACAUAAAAAUAACAAUAAACAACCAGUUUUAAAUGCUACACUCUAAUUCCCAACUGGACCGUCUGCGAUGUAUGAAGUGGAGAAAAUGAGCAAGUCGUUUGAGCUAUCCGAAACCAAAAGCCAAGAUAAACAAUGCUGCGCAAAAUAAUGAUAACAAGAGAAGAGAAAUUAUGACAAUAAUAAAAAGACGUUGUACCGUUGAUAUUUCCUGUAGAAGGAAAUGAACGCACUACACAUUGCAUUCCUCAUUUUUCCCUUGUAUUUUAAAAGGCAUCAUGGGAUAGAAUGAGGCAAUAAAUAAGGUCUCCUUCGCUAAUGUUUAGCACAGAGAGAAAGAAGAACCACACGAGGUGAUCUGAAAGAUAGAUAAAGUCGCAAGAGAAGGGCCACAAGACAAAAAAUGUACAUCACAAAGACAAGUAUCCUCAUCGUGUUGCUAGUGGCGAACCUGUCCAUUUCGUUAGCAAUACCUCAUGGCUACGGAGGGAAAUUCUACGUGAGGAAACGAUAUAUACGAAGGGCAACGUGCAACAUUCCGUGCAAGGAUGACAAGAAAUGCAGAAGUUGUAAUAAAACAUACAGAUGUUUGUCUGGCACGUGUCAUUUGGAUCCCCAAACAGGACCGCUGUACAAAACACGAAACUUUUGGAACUUUAGAGCCUGAUGCGUAAACAUGGAAGGAUUCGCAUACAAUAUAUAAAUAUAAAUACAUUUAAUAAUAAACUAUUUAUUCACUCCAUUACACAAUGUAAAUAUAUUAAAGAAAAGUGAAAAUGCAAAUACAUAACGAAACAAUGCAAA